GGUUCUAUGGUGUAAUGUUUAGCAGUUCAGACUCUGAGUCUGAAAAUCUGAGUUCAAAUCUCAGUAGAACCU
rnacentral:tRNA from 1 species